rnacentral:rRNA from 1 species
CAGCAGCCGCGGUAAUACGUAGGGUGCAAGCGUUAAUCGGAAUUACUGGGCGUAAAGCGUGCGCAGGCGGUUAUAUAAGACAGAUGUGAAAUCCCCGGGCUCAACCUGGGAACUGCAUUUGUGACUGUAUAGCUAGAGUACGGCAGAGGGGGAUGGAAUUCCGCGUGUAGCAGUGAAAUGCGUAGAUAUGCGGAGGAACACCGAUGGCGAAGGCAAUCCCCUGGGCCUGUACUGACGCUCAUGCACGAAAGCGUGGGGAGCAAACAGGAUUAGAUACCCCAUAGUCCCUGUCUCUUAUACA